rfam:Methylobacterium platani strain SE2.11 contig_20, whole genome shotgun sequence.
AGAAGGGCUUCCGGGGCGUCGCUUCGGGGGCCUUUUUCUUUUGC